rnacentral:rRNA from 1 species
GAUGAACGCUGACAGAAUGCUUAACACAUGCAAGUCAACUUGAACUUUGGUUUGGGUGGCGGACGGGUGAGUAACGCGUAAAGAACUUGCCUCACAGCUAGGGACAACAUUUGGAAACGAAUGCUAAUACCUGAUAUUAUGAUUAUAUGGCAUCGUAUAAUUAUGAAAGCUAAAUGCACUGUGAGAGAGCUUUGCGUCCCAUUAGCUAGUUGGAGAGGUAACGGCUCACCAAGGCGAUGAUGGGUAGCCGGCCUGAGAGGGUGAACGGCCACAAGGGGACUGAGACACGGCCCUUACUCCUACGGGAGGCAGCAGUGGGGAAUAUUGGACAAUGACCGAGAGUCUGAUCCAGCAAUUCUGUGUGCACGAUGAAGUUUUUCGGAAUGUAAAGUGCUUUCAGUUGGGAAGAAAAAAAUGACGGUACCAACAGAAGAAGUGACGGCUAAAUACGUGCCAGCAGCCGCGGUAAUACGUAUGUCACGAGCGUUAUCCGGAUUUAUUGGGGCGUAAAGCGCGUCUAGGUGGUUAUGUAAGUCUGAUGUGAAAAUGCAGGGCUCAACUCUGUAUUGCGUUGGAAACUGUAUAACUAGAGUGCUGGAGAGGUAAGCGGAACUACAAGUGUAGAGGUGAAAUUCGUAGAUAUUUGUAGGAAUGCCGAUGGGGAAGCCAGCUUACUGGACAGAUACUGACGCUGAAGCGCGAAAGCGUGGGUAGCAAACAGG